UACUCCUACGGGAGGCAGCAGGCGCGCAAAUUACCCACUCCCGACUCGGGGAGGUAGUGACGAAAAAUAACAAUACAGGACUCUUUCGAGGCCCUGUAAUGGAAUGAGUACACUUAAACCUAACGAGAUCGCAG
rnacentral:rRNA from 1 species